GGUUAAGCGAAUAAGCGUACACGGUGGAUGCCUAGGCAAUCAGAGGCGAUGAAGGACGUGCUAAUCUGCGAAAAGCGUCGGUAAGGUGAUAUGAACCGUUAUACCCGACGAUAUCCGAAUGGGGAAACCCAGUAUCCAAUGGAUACUAUCAUUAACUGAAUCCAUAGGUUAAUGAGGCGAACCGGGAGAACUGAAACAUCUCAGUACCCCGAGGAAAAGAAAUCAACCGAGAUUCCCCUAGUAGCGGCGAGCGAACGGGGAGCAGCCCAGAGUCUUAAUCAAUAGCAGUGUCAGGAGAACGGUCUGGAAAGUCCGGCAGUAAAGGGUGAUAGCCCCGUAUCUGAAGAUGCUGUUAUUGUGAACUCGAUGAGUAGGGCGGGACACGUGUUAUCCUGUCUGAAUAUGGGGGGACCAUCCUCCAAGGCUAAAUACUCCUGAUUGACCGAUAGUGAACCAGUACCGUGAGGGAAAGGCGAAAAGAACCCCGGCGAGGGGAGUGAAAAAGAACCUGAAACCGUGUACGUACAAGCAGUAGGAGCCUCUUUAUGGGGUGACUGCGUACCUUUUGUAUAAUGGGUCAGCGACUUAUAUUCUGUAGCAAGGUUAACCGUAUAGGGGAGCCGUAGGGAAACCGAGUCUUAACUGGGCGAAUGAGUUGCAGGGUAUAGACCCGAAACCCGGUGAUCUAUCCAUGGGCAGGUUGAAGGUUGGGUAACACUAACUGGAGGACCGAACCGACUAAUGUUGAAAAAUUAGCGGAUGACUUGUGGAUGGGGGUGAAAGGCCAAUCAAACCGGGAGAUAGCUGGUUCUCCCCGAAAGCUAUUUAGGUAGCGCCUCGUGAACUCAUCUUCGGGGGUAGAGCACUGUUUCGACUAGGGGGUCAUCCCGACUUACCAACUCGAUGCAAACUGCGAAUACCGAAGAAUGUUAUCACGGGAGACACACGGCGGGUGCUAACGUCCGUCGUGAAGAGGGAAACAACCCAGACCGCCAGCUAAGGUCCCAAAGUCAUGGUUAAGUGGGAAACGAAGUGGGAAGGCUCAGACAGCCAGGAUGUUGGCUUAGAAGCAGCCAUCAUUUAAAGAAAGCGUAAUAGCUCACUGGUCGAGUCGGCCCGCGCGGAAGAUGUAACGGGGCUAAACCAUGCACCGAAGCUGCGGCAGCGACACAAAGUGUUGUUGGGUAGGGGAGCGUUCUGUAAGCCUGCGAAGGUGUACUGUGAGGUAUGCUGGAGGUAUCAGAAGUGCGAAUGCUGACAUAAGUAACGAUAAUGCGGGUGAAAAACCCGCACGCCGGAAGACCAAGGGUUCCUGUCCAACGUUAAUCGGGGCAGGGUGAGUCGACCCCUAAGGCGAGGCUGAAAAGCGUAGUCGAUGGGAAACGGGUUAAUAUUCCCGUACUGGUGGUAACUGCGAUGGGGGAACGGAGAAGGCUAGGUUGUCCGGGCGACGGUCGUCCCGGUUCAAGCAGGUAGGCAGAGUGAUUAGGCAAAUCCGGUCACUUAAUGCUGAGAUGUGAUGACGAACCACCAAGGUGGUGAAGCAAUUGAUGCCCCGCUUCCAGGAAAAGCCUCUAAGCUUCAGGUUACCAACAAUCGUACCCCAAACCGACACAGGUGGUCAGGUAGAGAAUACUCAGGCGCUUGAGAGAACUCGGGUGAAGGAACUAGGCAAAAUGGUGCCGUAACUUCGGGAGAAGGCACGCUGGCGGUAGGUAAAGUCCCUUGCGGACGGCGCUGAAGCCAGUCGAAGAUACCAGCUGGCUGCAACUGUUUAUUAAAAACACAGCACUGUGCAAACACGAAAGUGGACGUAUACGGUGUGACGCCUGCCCGGUGCUGGAAGGUUAAUUGAUGGGGUCAGCCGUAAGGCGAAGCUCCUGAUCGAAGCCCCAGUAAACGGCGGCCGUAACUAUAACGGUCCUAAGGUAGCGAAAUUCCUUGUCGGGUAAGUUCCGACCUGCACGAAUGGCGUAAUGAUGGCCAGGCUGUCUCCACCCGAGACUCAGUGAAAUUGAACUCGCUGUGAAGAUGCAGUGUACCCGCGGCAAGACGGAAAGACCCCGUGAACCUUUACUAUAGCUUGACACUGAACAUUGAGCCUUGAUGUGUAGGAUAGGUGGGAGGCUUUGAAGUGUGGACGCCAGUCUGCAUGGAGCCAACCUUGAAAUACCACCCUUUAACGUUUGAUGUUCUAACCUAGGCCCAUAAACUGGGUCGGGGACCGUGUCUGGUGGGUAGUUUGACUGGGGCGGUCUCCUCCUAAAGAGUAACGGAGGAGCACGAAGGUUGGCUAAGCAUGGUCGGACAUCAUGCGGUUAGUGCAAAGGCAUAAGCCAGCUUGACUGCGAGAGUGACGGCUCGAGCAGGUACGAAAGUAGGUCUUAGUGAUCCGGUGGUUCUGAAUGGAAGGGCCAUCGCUCAACGGAUAAAAGGUACUCCGGGGAUAACAGGCUGAUACCGCCCAAGAGUUCAUAUCGACGGCGGUGUUUGGCACCUCGAUGUCGGCUCAUCACAUCCUGGGGCUGAAGUAGGUCCCAAGGGUAUGGCUGUUCGCCAUUUAAAGUGGUACGCGAGCUGGGUUUAGAACGUCGUGAGACAGUUCGGUCCCUAUCUGCCGUGGGCGUUGGAAGAUUUAGAUGGGUUGCUCCUAGUACGAGAGGUCCGGUGUGACCGCACCACUGGUGUUCGGGUUGUCAUGCCAAUGGCAUUGCCCGGUAGCUAAGUGCGGAAGAGAUAACCGCUGAAAGCAUCUAAGCGGGAAACUUGCCUCGAGAUGAGUCUUCCCUGUCGCUUUAAGCGACCUAAAGGAACGUUUAAGACUAAGACGUUGAUAGGCUGGGUGUGUAAGCGUAGCGAUACGUUGAGCUAACCAGUACUAAUGAACCGUGAGGCUUAACCUG
rnacentral:rRNA from 1 species